GGCACGUCAGCGCCGGCAGCCGGGCCCCGCCGCGGGCCGGGGGCGGCCCAGCCCCGGGGCCCUCCCGGUGUCCCCCGGGGCCCUCCCGGUGUCCCCCCGGUGUUCCCCCCGUGUCCCCUCGGUGUCCCCUCGGUGUCCCCGCGGUGCGGCCGCCCCGCCGCGCCCGGCGCUGUCCGUGGUGCUGAUGGCCCCGACGGGGCGGGAGGAGGCGCGGGACCGGCCGGGGGGCGGCCGCAUGAUCCGCAUGGCACAUGACACGGAAAGGCGCUGGGCAGCGGCCACCCCUGCCAAACGUCAUUUUUUCCUCCGGUGAAGAAGAGGGGUAGAAUACCCCGUCCCUCCCCUCAAGCGGCUUUGCAAGCAGCCGGGCAGAGGUAGCUGCAGACCUGGAGGUACCCCGGGGUUCCCAGUAUGACCGGCACCUUCCCAGACGUGGCUUCACUUGGGAUAACCAGCAGAGCAAGGAGGAGACCAGCGGCUUUGGGAUUAUGCUUUGGAGCAGAGCAAAUGUGGCACACUUGGGUUCCUGUGCAUGCCUGGAGUCUGAAAGUGCUGCAGCAGUGGAAGUCAAUAGAACAAGAGCAGCAGGUACCACAGGGUGUAAUGAACAGGGCUGAGUGUCUCCCUUUGCCAUCAGCAGGGAGCAGAAGCACACGUGUGUUGGAGCCCCAAGCUUACAUCCUCUGAAGAGAAUUUCUGCUGGCAAUGCAGGAGUGGGGAAUCCCUUUUGUUGAGAAAUAUCUGACAUGUCUGGUAAAAAGCUUCCUUCGUCCUCCUCCUCUGCAACACAAAGUAGGGUUGGAAGAACCCUCACUGAACACAGGAACACUUCCAGUAUGUAUUUCACAAAUUCAGAAAUCCCCAUUAAAUAAGGAUCUGAUAUUUCUCAUUAAAGCCACUAGCAAAAAACUCCCACGAAUUAGGAGAUGAGAGGACCUUGAAACUGAGACAAGACCAGUAUUUUCUGUGUGGUUCAUAUUCUGGCUGGUUGUUUCUCCCUGAAACAUCACCAUAUGCUUAGUUUUUCUUUGCCAUUUAAUUGCCUCUAACACAGUAAAAUCAGAUCUAGGAUAAGCAGACCAGUUCAAUUUUUCGACAUUAAUUUUAACUUUGGGUUGGAGAUUGAAACGAAACACUUGUCCUUUUGGUUAGUAGUUUUAUUAAAGAGAAGGAACUGAAUAGAAUGAGCCCUGAGGUCACAGAGGACCACAGGGUCAUGUUUACCCACCUCCUGCUAGGUCUGAGUCCAGAGGCAGCCAGGACACUUGUUUCUUCAAGUCUACUGUGUUUCCCCACCUUCAAAAGGUUUUUAACCACGGAAGGUGGCCAGGAAAAGGCCAGGAUUGCCAUGACACAACAGCUAGGGACACAAUGUCACCAGGCUGAAAGAGCUGGUAGUUCUGCACUGAUAUCAUGGGCAUAACCAGCCCUGCAACCAUAAGUGAAGUCUGGUGGCUGGGUCUCUUAAACCACCUAUCCACAUCAGCAAAACCCCAAUCACACUUGCAGCAGAGUGAGCAUGGCUCACUCUUUUAGCCCAAACUACACUGGUUAAAACACAAGAGCAAGGAGAAAUCUUUCUCACUCCUUCCAUCACUUUAGGACAGGCAAUGGGUGGGUUUGGUAGCACCAACACCAGGUACCUCCUGGUUUGCCAAGGCCCCAGAGACAGGAGGAAGAUCAUGGAUUAUCUAAGCAAGAAAUGGAAAAUUCUGUAGGAUUUGCCUGAUCAAUACAGACACAAAACAAACAGAAUAAACUCCCAGAUCACAAACACAUCUCAACCCCCUCUGCAAAGAAGUUCUGGGAGAAAGCACUCCUGCGUCUCUUGCCCAUCCACCCCUUAGUUUUAAAUGUUUCCUGUGUAAGAACAUGAUACAGUGCUGACCAUGAAACAUUUUUUUUCCCAUUAAGCAGACACACAUUCAGUAGAGAUUCCAUCACUGCUGUUUAUAUUUGGUAUUAAGUGGCUUGCCCUUGGGAAAUCUUAUUACAAAUUGUCAAAUUAUGUCCCUUCCUUUUAAUUUCAGCAGAAAGUUGGAUUUUUGGUUAAGUAUAUUUUAAAAAUUUCCAGCUGAGGGGCUGGGGCUAGUGAGAAGCAGAGACUCACAUCACUUGUACCUAUUUUUCCAUCAGCCUUACAGAGGUGAUACCAAAGUGGCUAUCACCAAUAAUUGGAUUUAAGGGUUUCCAUAUGCCCACUUAAGAAUCCCCAGAGUUUUUCAGUCUCCUCAACUCAACCCAUUUAAAUUCAGGUUUAACUGACAUUGAUUUAAGAGUUGGUUUUCCAAGGUGUUGAACACAUGCCAUCAAUUGCAGCUGAAAUUCUGAGUGCUCAGCCCUUCUCAAUAUCAGAUCCUUCCUGUUUAAAAGAACAAAAAGCAGAUUUGAAGUUUAUUAAAGCCAGACCCAUAGGCUCAAAUGAAGGGUUAUUAACUCCCUAAGUGAUCCUGUAAGUUAAUAUGUCUUUAUUAGUUGGCUCUUUUCAACUUAGCAAGUGUUGUGGAAUAGCCCAUUAUAAAUUACAGAAGCUUUACUUGAACUGGCUUCUAGUAAAACAUAACAGACCUACUGGAAAAUUGUUGCAUAAAUGUCACCUCCCAAUGACCAGUCUGGACUAAACCAUAGAUUUUUUUCUACACUACUGCUAACGCACACAAAGUCUUUCAUUUGUUUCAUGAAAAUGGUCCCUGGAUAAAAUUCAGGAGAGACAAAGACAGCAGUAAUUCCUUUGUGUGCAGCAUCUCAACCAUUUUACACCAGCUCUUGAUUUGGUCUUACAUUUUCAGGGGAAUAGAAAAAGAAAAAAGUAUUACAUCACCAAAUAAUUAAAUUUGCUCUUGUCUCAUGGCUGGCCAGACACAAGCUUUUUCUCUGCAUGCACCAGUAAAAGGAAGAGAUGCUUUUGUUUACAUGGUUUGGGGAAGAGGGACUGAUCAAAGACUUGAAUUUUUUUGAUGCCAUGUAGAAUUAGGCAGCAGAGGCCACAUAUGGAUGGAUAUAAUUAGCCACCUUAUUUCCAAAGGCACUACAGCUCUUCAGCCCUGAAGAUUUACUGUCUCCACUUCUACACAUACUCCACAGAGCCCCUCCCCAUAUUGAUCCAAAUACAGGAAGGAAAAUUAUUAAGAAAUAUCCAGAGUUAGCAAGAUUUCAGACUAGUUACCAGGAAGCUGUAAAUGCAGCAGGAGUAGCCCUCAUUAACUCACUGCUGGGAGCUGAUCUGCCCUCUGCCUUUCUGCAGACUCUGAAACAGCUCUUGCCACGCUACUGACUUGGUCUUUCACACUGUUUCAGGGCACCUUUGUCAGAAUCUUCAUUCUUGGGGUUUUAUGGGGUUUUUUCCUGUAAGAAGAGGGAUGCUGGGGAUGUGGCCCUCAGCACAACUGCAUCCUCAAAAGAUCACUUCCUGCACGUUGAUCCUGUUAACUGCCCAAAGAAAUUCCUAACCAGUUAACAAAUCAUGGGAGACUU
rnacentral:lncRNA from 13 species